UUCGGUAACGAGCCCCUGCUGCCACGUAUUACCGCGCUAGGACGUCGCUUCUGCCGGCACCAUCCUAGCGUGGGGCCACAAACAUCUGCCCGCUGGGACAUUGCAUCACCGCCAGUCAGGACUCCUGUAGAGGAACACCAUCUCCACUACACAACCAAACGACACGAUGUGGUUCUAAGGUCGCAGUUCCUGCAAGAAGUGCGAAGGAAGGCGCGCGAUGGCGAUGCCGGUCCUGUGCGUCUCUUUGGAGAGUCUUUUGGUGUGACAAGAAACCGAAACAUAAACAUGGGACAAGACGCCUA